GCGAUUCGCCCUUCGGGGUGCAGCAGGCGCGAAAACUUUACAAUGCGGGAAACCGUGAUAAGGGAACUCCGAGUGCCCGUAAAAUCGGGCUGUCCAUCUGUUUAAAUAACAGGUGAAGAAAGGGCCGGGCAAGACCGGUGCCAGCCGCCGCGGUAAUACCGGCGGCUCGAGUGGUGGCCACUAUUACUGGGCUUAAAGCGUUCGUAGCUGGUCUGUUAAGUCUCUGGGGAAAUCUACUGGCUUAACCAAUAGGCGUUUCAGGGAUACUGGCAGACUAGGGACCGGGAGAGGUGAGGGGUACUCCAGGGGUAGGAGUGAAAUCCUGCAAUCCUUGGGGGACCACCUGUGGCGAAGGCGCCUCACCAGAACGGCUCCGACAGUGAGGGACGAAAGCUGGGGGAGCAAACCGGAUUAGAUACCCGGGUAGUCCCAGCCGUAAACGAUGCGCGUUAGGUGUAUCGGUGACCACGAGUCACCGAGGUGCCGAAGAGAAAUCGUGAAACGUGCCGCCUGGGAAGUACGGUCGCAAGGCUGAAACUUAAAGGAAUUGGCGGGGGAGCAC
rnacentral:rRNA from 1 species